rnacentral:lncRNA from 1 species
AUGUGGUUGUCGAGAGCUGUCUUGGGCAGAGUGAUCACAAAAUGGUGGAGUUCUCUAUUCUUGGCCAGGAAGGGGACCAGUAAAACCGCUGUAUUGGACUUCCGGAGGGCUGACUUUGUGCUGCUGAGCACACUGGUUGGUAGAGUCCCUUGGGGGGCGGUUCUGAAGGGCAGAGGAGUCCAGGAAGGCUGGGCACUCUUCAAGAGGGAAAUCUUAAUGGCGCAGGAGUGGUCUGUCCCCAUGUGCCCAAAGAUGAGCUGGCAGGGAAGAAGACCAGCCUGGCUGAACAGAGAAUUGUGGCUUGAGUUUAGGAGGAAAAAGAGGGUUUAUAAGCUUUGGAAAAGUGGGCAGGCCACUAGGGAGGACUACAAGGAUGUUGCGAGGCUGUGCAGGGACAAAAUUAGAAAGGCCAAAGCUCAUCUGGAGCUCAAUCUGGCUACUGCUGUUAAAGAUAACAAAAAAUGUUUUUGUAAAUACAUCAACACAAAAAGGAGGACUAAGGAGAAUCUCCAUCCUUUACUGGAUGCAAGGGGAAACUUAGUUACAAAAGAUGAGGAAAAGGUGGAGGUGCUUAAUGCCUUUUUUGCCUCAGUCUUUAGCAGCAAUACUGGUUGUUCUCUGGAUAUCCAGUACCCUGAGCUGGUAGAAGGGGAUGGGGAGCAGGAUGUGGCCCUCACUAUCCGCGAAGAACUGUUUGGUGACCUGGUACGGCACUUGGAUGUGCACAAGUCGAUGGGGCCAGAUGGGAUCCACCUAAGGGUGCUGAGAGAAGUGUCAGAGGAGCUGGCCAAGCCCCUAUCCAUUAUUUAUCAACAUUCCUGGCUAUUGGGGGAGGUCCCAGUUGACUGGCAGCUAGCAAAUGUGACGCCCGUCUACAAGAAGGGCCGGAAGGCAGACCCGGGAAACUACAGGCCUGUCAGUUUGACCCCAGUGCCAGGGAAGCUCAUGGAGCAGAUUCUCUUGAGAGUCAUCACGCAGCACUUGCAGGGCAAACAGGCGAUCAGGCCCAGUCAGCAUGGGUUUAUGAAAGGCAGGUCCUGCUUGACGAACCUGAUCUCCUUCUAUGACAAAGUGAUGCGCUUGGUGGAUGAGGGAAAGGCUGUGGAUGUGGUCUACCUUGACUUCAGCAAGGUUUUGACACUGUUUCCCACAGCAUUCUCCUCAAGAAAAUGGCUGCUCUUGGCUUGGACUGGUGCACGCUUCGUUGGGUUGGAAACUGGCUGGAUAGCCAGGCCCAAAGAGUCGUGGUAA